UAAAUCUGGGGCCACACCCACUUUAAGACCAGAACAGUAUAAAGGGGUCUUAGUGGCUAUGAGAAUCUGGCUUGCUCUGUUUAAUUCAGUGGGGGUUACUCUGCAUUUACACAAGUGUGACUAAGAGCAGACUCUCUUACUAACUGCAACUUGUGUAGCUAUUGGGCCACCCCUGUUGUCCUGGGAGAUAAAUAGUCCCUGUGCUGAAAAGCAGCAUGGGAAAGGAGACUUGGGAUCCUGAGUUCUAAUCCUGGCUCUACCAGUAACAAGAUCAGAGACUAACACGGCUGCUACUCUGAAACCUGUCAAAUGAUUACGAUUACCAACUCUGCCUGAGAUCCUGUUGCAGAGGUGCUGCUGCUGGCUGCGGGGAACCAGGAAUGACCUGGGUUGGUAACGCAGAAGAAGUGAAAUGGCGGCUAAGGAAAAGCAUUUGCUUCCCCUUUAAGGAAAAUAAGUGGCUGAUUGAAAAAGGUGGUGAAAAUCGAAGUUUUCCAAGGAAAGACUUUGCAGAAAAUGCAUUUUGCAUUGAAAAACAUUUUCACCACAAAUUCACAGCUAGCUCAUCUGUUUUGCACUGGCACCCAUCCCCAUAGCAUCUGAAUGCCUCCUAGAACAAUCAGCAUGGCAUGUCUUUUAUUAUUAUUACAGCAGAACUUUAACCAGCCCAGCCAGGGAUCAGGGCCCCAUUGCACAAAUAAUGCAGAACCAGUCCUUGCCCUUGGGUGUAGUAAUCUCGGCUUAGAUAAUAUUCAGUGGGUAGAUGCAGGUGGGCAAGAAGACAGGGUGACUGCAGGGACAGGUGCUCUGUGAAUCCUGUUGCAAUUGUAGGGUCCUGGUAGCCACAGGUGGUCCCCAGCUUGAGCAACAUAAUCAGAGCACAGGCUGGUUUUCAGGAGGGAUUUAAACGAGGCUGGGAGUGAAGCUGGAUGUGGAGUCCUCCCAAAGUGUAAGGUGCAGCAAGGCCAGGAUUUAGCUGAUAAUUCAUGAGGCAGAAGAGAACUCAGCUGGCCGGCCCCUUCUCAGCUAUGCCAUGCCGCAAGAC